rnacentral:rRNA from 1 species
AACGAACGCUGGCGGCAGGCUUAACACAUACAAGUCGAACGCCCCGCAAGGGGAGUGGCAGACGGGUGAGUAACGCGUGGGAAUCUACCCAGAUCUUCGGAACAACUGAGGGAAACUUCAGCUAAUACCGGAUACGCCCUACGGGGGAAAGAUUUAUCGGUUCUGGAUGAGCCCGCGUUGGAUUAGCUAGUUGGUGAGGUAAAGGCUCACCAAGGCGACGAUCCAUAGCUGGUCUGAGAGGAUGAUCAGCCACACUGGGACUGAGACACGGCCCAGACUCCUACGGGAGGCAGCAGUGGGGAAUAUUGGACAAUGGGCGAAAGCCUGAUCCAGCCAUGCCGCGUGAGUGAUGAAGGCCUUAGGGUUGUAAAGCUCUUUCAGUAGGGAAGAUAAUGACGGUACCUACAGAAGAAGCCCCGGCUAACUUCGUGCCAGCCGCCGCCGUAAAAC